ensembl:lncRNA
UUUCAAUCCUUGAGACCAGGAAUUCUCAACUGUUUCCUUUCCAAGUUUAACCACAGCAGUUCCUGAAAAAAAUAAAUUAAAAAGUCUGUUUUGAAUAAAUAGUGUUCCGCUUCACAACAAGCUUGAAAAUCUCCGAUAUAGGCGAACAGCCAGCCUCCUCAGAGGACCCUCGCGCUAUUCCAACGAGGGCUGCCCCAGAGCAUCCCCCGCCUCCCCGUUGCGAAGCUGAAGACGGAAAAAUCACAGGCCAGGGUGCAGUUGUGGAGUUGGUGAGGCCAUGUGAGCAAGUGGACAAAGACCACCC